AAUGCAUAAACCAAAUACUACACGUUCUCACAACUGAAAGCCAAACACUGAAUACACAUGGAUACUAAGAAGGGCUUGAUAGAUACUGGGGCCUAAUUGAGGGUGGAGAGAGGGAGAAGGGCAAGAAUCAAAAAAUAACCCAUUGGGUACUAUGCUCAUUACCUGGGUGAUAAAAUAAUCAGACUACCUUCAGUUUGGAAUUUCCAGUUUUUUCCUGUUUUUGGCUCAAGUCACAGGUAUUAAGUUUCGAUUUCCAAUAUUAUUAAUAAAAGUAGGUUUACCAGUGAUAACAAAGUGUUUUACCUAUGUUGCAAUGAUAAUUCUGAGCCAUUCACAGUGGAAAACAUGCUUCUUAAAACUAUUACAAAAAAUCGAAGAGGAGGACUUUCUCCCUUACUCAUUCUACAAGGUCAGUAUUAUUUUGAUACCAAAACCAGACAAAGACACAAAAAGAAAAGAAAACUACAGUCCAAUAUCCCUGAUGAGCAUAGACACAAAAAUCUUCAGCAAAAUACUGGCAAACCAAAUCCAACAGCACAUCAAAAAACGUAAUACAAUAUGAUCAGUUGAUAUUUACCCCAGGGAUUUAAGGGGUAUUUACCCCAGGGAUUUAAGUUGAUAUUUAUACCAGGGAUUCAAUAUGUAUAAAUCAAUAAAUGUGAUACAUCAUGUCAACAGAAUCAAGGACAAAACCCAUAUGACCAUUUCAACAGACACAGAAAAA
rnacentral:lncRNA from 1 species